CUGAUGCGGACACAGCAGCUGUCAUCAAUAUGUUUAACACCAUGGAAUUCUGUAUGUUCCUGAAAGUGCAAUCCCGCGCCAGGUAUUCGCCUGUUACGAAAAUGAACUGUUUUGAUACAAACUCACUGUUUUAGUAUUUAUUGGAUGUAUGUAUGAACAAAAUUGAUUUUAUUUUGGAUUAUGUGACGUGCAAUUCGUAAUAACUAUUGCGAAUUUAAGACGUUUUGUACGUUCCAAGAAGUCUGUUUCCGAAGACCAUAUAAGUUUAUUUACUUUUCUUAGCGUGUUGAUAACAUUUCACACACAAAAAGUGACUGAUAUUUACCUUGACCGAAUUCUGAGGAAAGAAACAAAACAAGUCUUUAAAUGUAGUUAAUAUACAUCAUGUAUAUUCAAUUGUUUGCGUGAUUUACCGAUUAUCUCUGUUACAAUCAUCAUAUAUUUGUAAAAGAGCUUUAUAAUUACCUAACAAACGCUCACGUUACGUUACGCGAUGAGCGUGUGUUCGGCGACGGCUGCGGCGUCCUCACGACCGGGACGGAGAGAGUCUCGGAGCUCGAGCACCCGAGCAAGUACGGCAGAGCAGCACUUCUACAUUAGCAAGGGUGGCCUCAAACCCCUUGACCAAAGGAAGUACAGCACGAUUUCCACGACACGGCAUUCCUCAAGUUCAAACUUGUGCUGCGUCAUUUCCGUUCUACUUUCUUGCAUUCUGGUUGGCUGGUGCGAACUAGGACAAGAUUUUAUUGGUUGAAGCAGGACCAAUAGUAGCAAAGGGUUUAAAUUUAUAAAGGGUAUGCCACGGACAGAUGAUUCUUUAACGAAUCCAUUACUACAUUUUAUUACCCAUGGAAUGCUUUUGAAUGUGUUAAUAAUGCUAAAUGCUUACGUUGCCAUACUUUAGAACGAAUGCUUUAAACUUGAUAUAGCAUCAUAUUUUUUUUUGUUUUGAUUAUAAAUUAUGUUCCCUUUGAGUAUUACAUUGUGAUGAUACCUUAGCACUUUUCACACAAACAGUAGGGUGAUAAUGCUUUGCAGCGCUAAUGCUUGAACUGCUUUUUUUCAUAAAUGCAACAGUUGUUGUUUAUAAUGAAUAUUCGUUCUUGUAUUCAAAUGAAUCUUUUAGAACUGAUAAAGCAGUGCACAUUUACCUAAUUCCUCCGACAUUCGUCGUUGUGUUAAUUUUUUUUUCUAAAUGUCCUCUUUAUAUGGUAUAUACACAUUUAUGAACGAGAAAUCACACUGAUUUCUAGAGUUUCACGACAUGUUUUACACACAAUGUGAGAAGAAAAAUUGUACUGAACAUUAAGCAAGGUAAGACUACAUGGCUUAUAACAAAAAUCCAAUUGGUUGAACGUAACCCAAAUGUAUACGAAAAUUACCCUAACUAGGCGAAGGAUUACAGACAAAGAGAAGAAAAUGUAAACAAAAACGUAGAUCAAGUUUAUCCAGAAAGUUUGCCAAUUAUGUUUUAAUCAUAUACCGCUCAGAGCCUUUAAUUAUUGACUAUAGUCAAUAGUGUGAUAUGGUAUGACCCUUAUUUAUACAGUGUCAUUUGUUCAAAAUAAGAAAAACAGCAAUAACAAUAAGUAUUCACUUCAAAAAAGUGUAAGUUUGCCUUUUAAGAAGAUUACCCUUUCUUUCUUUUACUUUUCAAUGAUAUACGGACAUUAAUCAGUGAAAAAUCAACAGUGAAAAUAUCAAUUUCAUACAUCAAAAUAUCAAUUUGAUAUUUUCAUUUUGACUUUGUUAUAUUUUCACUGCAAGCUAGCGAGUGAAAAUUUGAACUAUUGUUAAAAUCAAGGAUAGUUACUUCCCUUGAUCAAACAUACACAACGUUUCUUUAUAAUACCAAAUUUUUAUUUUAGGCAACCUUUUCUAGUUCAGAAGAGAGAUUUUCAUUAUGCUGUUGUUCACUGAUAAAUCUCCAUAUUUUAUCGAAAAGCAUGGAAGAAAUUGUAGCAUAUGAACUUAUGCUUAUUCAAAAGUUAUUGCAUAUUUCUAAUUUUAAAUUUUGCUGGCCAUUGAUAUAUUCCUUAUUGGUAUUGCAAGCAUGGGCAUAUUUACCAAUGUUUUUGAAAUAAACUCAUUAUCAAUA